CCAUCAUGUGCAUCACGUGCAGUCAGGAAAUGGACCAGGUGCGCUGAGCAGACAUGCCGAAGGCGAACUCUUUCCUCGUGUAAUCUGCUUCAUUUCACGUUUGUCUGCAACAUCUCAUUCAUAUAGUUGUGCGUGCAUAGAAAAACCACAGUUUUUACCACCUGUAAAUGCUUUACUGAGAUUCUGGAGUCUGGGGUGAAUUCAUCAAGUUACAUGUCAUUAUACAGUUCUGACUGACUGUCUGCGGAGAUUCGAAUCUACUCAAAUCAGUAUUAAAAUUUGAAACCUCAAUUACAAGAGCCGAGAGUCAAACUGCCCAACUAAAAGAAACACUAAUCACUAUAAUGGUAAGGAAACUUUUUCAAUCAAACAACAUCUAAACCUGUUAAAUAAUUGAUUAUUUAACUCUAAAUAAUCUUGUGUUUCCCAUAUGAAUGAACCCAUGUGUUUAUUUAAUACUGGGGAAUUUACUGUGAAGAAAGAAAGACAUGAACAUUUUGCAUGACGAGGGUGUGAGGACUUUAUUUGUACAUUUUUGUUCUGGAAGUGAACCACUCCUUUAAACAACAGUGGGAGUUGGAUGUCUGCCUCACAUUUGGAGAUGAGAUCUGGAGUCAGAUCUUGUCCCGUGUCCACACCUCUUCUGUUUGUGCACAACACAGUCUUAUCCAAUUAAAGUGUAUUGAAUUUGAGAUUGUAUGAUAGUUUUCAAUAUUUUUACACUUUUUAUGAGCUAUUUUUCCCCAUUUAAAUUCAACUUUGAAUCUUUUAAUUUCUGGGUCACACCUGGUACUUGAAAUGUAACUUUAUUUAUUUAUCUAUCUAUCUAUCUAUCUAUCUAUCUAUUUAUUUAUUAAGGACAAUCAAUGUAAUAUAUUUUUAUUCAAUAAUAUUUUAUAACUAUUUUUGAAUAAAAAUAAUGCUUUUUGAAUCUCCUCAAAAAGCUAAAUAAUAAUCAUAAAAUAUUAUUGAACGAAAAUAUAUUAAAUUGAUUAAAUGUAUCUUUAUUUUCUUCAAAUAUGAAGAAAGUCAAAGUUUAAUUUUACUGGAAAAAUAGCUAAUUUAAAAUUUUAUAAAAAAUUAAUACUAUCAUAAAAUCUCCCCUACAAUGCAAAAUAAUAAUCAAAAAAAUAUUAUUUAACAAAACUAUAUUAAAUUGAUUUUCCUAAAAAAAAUAUAUAUAUAUAUAUAAAAAUAACAUAAAAAAAAAUACAAGUACCAAGCGUGACCCAAAAAUAAAGAGGCUCAAAGUUUAAAUAGCUUUAAAUAGAAAACAAAAUACCUCAUAAAAAGUGUAUAAAUAUUGAAUAGUAUUAUAAAAUCUCCUCAAAAUGAUGAUCACGGUACGGACAUCUCGGUUCGGUGCAUGUGGCCUUAUAACGAAUACAGGCAAUUCACACUCAAUUCAUAAGGAGUGGUAAUGAAAUGCUGUUUUAUAACUGCCAGCAGAAGAACAGCGAAUGCCGUGAGUUGCACACUUGAAAACAAAGACCACUAGACAGUGACCAUGUGCUGAUUCUGAACACGUCUCUCACUGACAAAUGAGUAUACUUUAAGACUUGUGCACUCAACUGUUUGUGAAAUGGAGCUUUGUGCUCGUGUAUCCUACCUCUCUCAUUCGGCACAAGUCCAAAUAUUCCAUAAUAUUUCCAUAUUUGCGAUGUAUCUGAAUGCUAAACUAUUAGGUAAUUAUAGGUUUUGUACUUCAGUCGUGUUCCAGCGGUGACACAGAGGCGGGUGCGCUGAUGUUUGGUUCACUGUAUUUUAUUUUGACAAAGUACCAACUGUGCUGUCAAGUUAGCAGUGCUGGAACUCAUAUGUUUUGUGUGUAUGUGUGUGUGCACGCGCCGGCAUGAUCACUUUAGCUGUUUCCUUAUACCAGCAGAAUCAAAUUAAAACACUCCAUUUAUUGUCUUAUUAAUAAUGCAAAACUGUAAAAUGGAUGUUGCUUCCAGCUUUGCUACUGUUCGGACGCUCUUGCUUACUGCUCCGCACUUUGCUCCCUGUUUAUAUACUUUUCUCAGAUUUUUCUAAGAUUUUAACCUCAGCACAGUUGCCUACUUUCAACAGAUGAGAAAGAAAAUGCCUCUUCUGGAAUCUACUUGCUGCACAAACUGCCACAGACUUCUACAAAGGAUUGUGGUUCUUGAAACAAAGUUACUUGCUGGACUUCAAAACAGGUGGAACACUCAGCAGACCAUCGUCACGGACCCCCUCAGCAUACAGCCGUGAGCCCAAUAAACCUAUAGUGAAUCUCAAUAGUUUAUAAGUGUAGAGGAACAAGCCUGAAAACUGAUCAACACACUAAUCAAUGGCACAAACAGGGAGCGAGACACAAACGCACUUGAGACAUCAGAUUGUCACAAGUAUCUCCUAUUGCUGCGGUAGCAUCCUCUACCCCAGAUAUGGCUAUGAUAAGGCUUGCAAAAACUGGUAUUUUACUAUCUCCUAUACAGCUUGAGAAAAGAUUUGAAGCACUGAUGAAUGUGGGUGAGGAAUCCCUAAAUGUGAUUGAACAUGGAUCGUAUCAGUCAGCAGCUAACAUCACUACAAACAGGUGCUCAAGGUCGAUCAGACAGCGGCAUUCAGCUCAGAGCACAGCCGAGCCCAGGACUCUGAUAGUGGGUGACUCCAUUAUCAGAAACAUCAGUAGCAGGACUACAACUACAUGCUGCUUUCCUCAAGCAACCGUCUCUGAUGUGAACAAGGAACUUCGGAACAUUCUAAUGAAGCACAAGACUGCAAAUCAAAUCAUCAUCCAUGUGGGGAAGGAUAAUAUUCAGAAAGAGCAGUCAGAACCCCUGAAGAAGGACUUCAGUGAACUCAUCGAAACACUUUGAAGACUUGAAGUUCAGUCGUUCAUCAGUGGACCGCUCCCAGCAAGGGGAACUAACAUGUUUUCACGGUUGCUUGGGCUGAAUACAUGACUACAAAGAACCUGCAGUCUAAAAGGAAUGAACUUCAUCGACAACUUCAGUCUUUUCUGGGGCCAUAGUCAACUGUUUAAACUGGAUGGCCUCCACCCAAACAAACUUGGUGCAGAAUUGCUAAAGGACAACAUCUAUUUUUCACUCCGUCAUCCUUCAGUGGAGUGUGACAGUCCGCUACAUGAUUGACACACACACACCUGGACAAAGUAUGAGUGACCACAGGACUUCAAAUCACCUUCAGAGUCAUCAAGUGGUCGACACAUCCCACAAGGACACUGACAACGCCACACAGCCACAACAAGCACUGCUCCUGGACACUAUCCCAGCUGAGCCCUGCCCACAGAGCUCAUCACAGACAGACUGUGACGUUCUACAACAGCUCCAAGACUCAGCGCCGAAGGACGACUUUCUGGUAAACAGCCAGGGAAGCAAAGACAACAUAUUUCAACCACCGGAAACACCAGAGCCAGAGCCCCGCUCACCAGACACAUUAUCCCUCUCUCCAGCAUCUCCACUUCUAAGCUUCUCACUGAAAAUGGAGGAACUAGUAUAUGCUGGAACCAGACUCUCCCACUCUUUUGCUGCAGAGCCCCCAGAUAUCAACUUAAAAAACGGCGGGCACCACAACCACCAAAGCCUGUGGACCCAGCUCGCCCUCCUCCUCCUUCAAGAGCUCUCCGGCCGCUGCCACAAUGCCAGGGCCCAAACCUUCCUCCAUCUGCUGUAGGUGAACCAAAAACAACUGAUAACAGCUCUCAGUGAUAUGUGUCGGGUCCCCGCUACAAUAGCAGCAACACUCAGGGAUGUUUACAGAAAAAGCGGGAACCCAGUGUGCCUGUAACUUUCUCUGUCUCUGUUUUAUCACGUGAUAGAAAGUCUAAGGCCUUCUUAAGCCGUACAGCUGACCCAUCUAAUCUGCGGCCUAUUAGGUAUUAUACUAAGAGUGCUCUAGAGACAAAACGUAAUGGCAUCAAGUUAGCAUUUUUAAACAUUUGCUCACAAAAAAAAAUUAUUUGUGAUCAAUGAUUUAAUAACCACAGACAACCCAACCCAUUCUCACUCCCGAGGCGUCAAAAACUGCAGAACGGUCAAGUGUCUCUAGCGUCACUAUGAAGAUGUCAACAGCGCCCCUCGGCGUCACUAUAUCGACGAACUGGGACAUACAUUGAUUUCAGUGGGAAACUUUUGGCGUCAGAACACAGACUCGAAGGACAUGAGAUGAUCGCUAUGAAAUCACGUUCAGGAAGUCUCAUUCAGCACACAUGGCGAUAUUUGCCAUUAGUUUACGUGUGCGGCAGGUUGGCUGAGGAGGCCUAAAGGAAGCCGUCAGCCCAGUCUUGUUUGUGGAGAGGUCUUCAUU